UGGGGAAUAUUGGACAAUGGGCGCAAGCCUGAUCCAGCCAUGCCGCGUGAGUGAAGAAGGCCCUAGGGUUGUAAAGCUCUUUCACCCGCGAAGAUAAUGACGGUAGCGGGAGAAGAAGCCCCGGCUAACUCCGUGCCAGCAGCCGCGGUAAUACGGAGGGGGCAAGCGUUGUUCGGAAUUACUGGGCGUAAAGGGCGCGUAGGCGGUCUGUUGCGUCAGGUGUGAAAGCCCCGGGCUCAACCUGGGAGGUGCACUUGAUACGGGCAGGCUAGAAUCCGGGAGAGGAUGGUGGAAUUCCCAGUGUAGAGGUGAAAUUCGUAGAUAUUGGGAAGAACACCAGUGGCGAAGGCGCUCUGCUGGGCCGUAACUGACACUCAUGGACGAAAGCUAGGGGAGCGAAAGGGAUUAGAUACCCCCGUAGUCC
rnacentral:rRNA from 1 species